CGCGUAGGUGGUAGUGUAAGUCUGGGGUGGAAUCCCAGGGCUCAACCCUGGAACUGCCUUGGAAACUGCAUUACUUGAGUCAGUGAGGGGAGGGUAGAAUUCCUGGUGUAGCGGCGAAAUGCGUAGAUAUCAGGAGGAAGGCCUGUGGCGAAGGCGGCCCUCUGGCGCUGGACUGACACUGAGGCGCGAAAGCGUGGGGAGCAAACAGGAUUAGAUACCCUGGUAGUCCACGCCCUAAACGGUGGGCACUAGGUGUAGGGCUCGUAAGGGUUCUGUGCCGAAGGGAAACCAUUAAGUGCCCCGCCUGGGGAGUACGGCCGCAAGGUUGAA
rnacentral:rRNA from 1 species